rnacentral:misc_RNA from 1 species
UUACACGCCAUGAUGGUUACUCGUCCCUACGAUACACUGCAGCAUUUACAGGUUUGUGCCUGGUGUGUUGACCAGUCACUUACUUUAUCGUCAAAGAGCUGAUCAGACUCCACCGUCUCUAGAUGUUGAACUCUCUUGAUGGAGACUUCUGCUGCUGCAGGUGUAUUAUGAUCGGAUAUACCUAUUGUGGAUGAACUGGAUGUAACUGCGGAAGUGUGGGAUUUCCACGUUAUUCGGCCUUCAACAAAUCCUUGUGUUCCAAGCGCUCGUCCAAAUACCAUGUUUGCAGUUCCUGAACUUUACGCAGUAGAUAGUUACACAUGUGCUGUAGAUGAUGAAAACCUGCUACUUUGCAAAAAUAAUGCAUUAUUUCGCAGUGGAAUACCCUGUGACGAAGACGUGUAUAAUACAUGUAUAUAUCUGAUGUCCGAAAAUGACUUCUUUUUUCCAAAUGACGCGUAUCAGGCUGCUGAUCUGUAUUCCAAAUUGAGACACUGUGUAUAUAAUCUCCUAACGUAGGCCCUAAAAUAUAGAACUGUCUUGUCGGAAUGCGUGAGAUUUAUUUACAUUAUCUAAAGAGAACUUUCUUCUUAAAGACAACACAACUUUGAUUUCUGAAAGUAAAAAGAAAGCUGAUGAAGGUAGUUACGUUUUUUUAUAGUACAUACGUUUUUUAUAGUACAUUUCACAAACGUUCCUUGAACAAUUAAAUUGCGACAUUGUUUACUGUGGUUGACGAUGUAUUGUAUUUUUGCACAUAAAACAAUUCUAUCCAAUGCUUCCUUCCCCAUGCCAUGCCUUGAUACAUUGGAGGAGAAUGUUAUGGUAGCUUGACUACAGUACUUGUAGCAAUUAUAUAUUAUGCACGUGCGAAAAUAUCGCAAUACAUAAAACGACCGUCAUAUUUCAAGGGACAAAUCUUUUAUUGUAUCCAUUCGUUUGAGUAAGAUAAAUAAGGUGUUUAACCUGGUUAGAUGGUUGAAGUAAGUUUAAUGUUAGUAACA